AAAGUACCACAAUAGCUCAGUACUCUACCGAUUCAGUGUAUGCUACAGUUGAUUUUUCCACGCAUCCCCGAGAAAACAGGCCUAGCCAGGAGCAGAUCAUCUACUCUCUUCUCCGACCAGUAAAAAGUAUGAAGUAACAUGCAUUAUAAAUAUAAUGUAAAUAUACAAAUAUAUAUUAAAGUUCAUUUAACAUUUCUGUACUUUCAUUUGUGGGGUCUCAUAGAUUGACGUGUAUUCUAAAAUGUUU